rnacentral:rRNA from 1 species
AUUGAACGCUGGCGGCAGGCUUAACACAUGCAAGUCGAGCGGAGCGGCGGACGGGUGAGUAAUGCCUAGGCAUCUGCCUGGUAGCGGGGGAUAACGUCCGGAAACGGGCGCUAAUACCGCAUACUAUCAGACGAGCCUAGGUCGGAUUGGCUAGUUGGUGGGGUAAAGGCCUACCAAGGCGACGAUCCGUAACUGGUCUGAGAGGAUGAUCAGUCACACUGGAACGGGAACACGGUCCAGACUCUUACGGAGGGCAGAAGUGGGGAAUUUUGGACAAUGGGCGAAAGCCUGAUCCGGCCAUGCGGCGUGUGUGAAGAAGGUCUUCGGAUUGUAAAGCACUUUAAGUUGGGAGGCGUUACCAACAGAAUAAGCACCGGCUAACUUCGUGCCAGCAGCCGCGGUAAUUC